CCAGAAUGUGAAAAAGAAGAAGGACGUGUAUAUGCAGUAGAUACACAUGCCGUUAUGAUGAAAGAAAAAUCAGGAAGAAUGACUCCAAGUUUCGGACAAGAUUCACUUAUGGUGUACACCACACAUAAAUGUACAUUGUCAGACCAUGUGUCACAGCUAACCAAAGUGAAAAACGAACAACCCGAUUGUGUAAGUACUAUAAAAAUCUGUAAAUGGUAAUACUAUUCAUAAUUAAUUUAUAUAAAUAGAAUGGAACAUAGAUCACAUUAUGUAUUACAUUUUAAUUUGGCUAUACUUUUUGGACCUUUUGGAUUAUAGCUCUUUAUCUUUUAUAUAAGAUUUGGAUUUCAAAUAUUUUGGCCACGAGCAUCACUGAAGAGACAUGUAUUGUCGAAAUGCGAAUCUGGUGCAGGAAAAUUGGUACCGUUAAUGUUAAUAGUUGAUUGAAAGAAGUACAGCUACAUAAAAAACUUUUAAAAUGUUUAAUUAGUUAUCAAAGGUACAAGGAUUAUAAUUUAGUACGCCAGACGCGCGCUUCGUCUUCAUGAGACUCAUCGGUGACGCUCAUAUCAAAAUAUUUAUAGAGCCAUACAAGUACAAAGUUGAAGAGUAUUGAGGUUCCACAAUUUCAAAAAGUUCUGCCAAAUACAGCUCAAAAUCAAUAGUCAAGUGGCUGUUGGUAAGAUUAAUAGAAUUAUAGGACAAUAUAACAGUGAGAAUCAAUACUCAAAAUUACAAAGAGAUCGUCAAAAUACUGGCAUUAAAUAAAAAAAAAAAAUGACGUUAAAAAAAAACAGAAACCUGCAAAACACUACAUAAAAUGAUACAUUUUGUCUGCAUACAUAAAAUAUGAUUCCCAAUAAGACAAUAUACAUGAAUGUUGUCAUUUUACUUACAAAGUAAGUUUAUAAAGAAUAAAAGUAAUUGUCUUGUGUAUAUCAAAAUUUUCAUUAUAAUGGUAAAUAUGUCAAUUUGAAAAACGAUUAAGUAAUUUAAAUUGAUUUUUUCAGUAUGACUACAAAUUUGUAAGCAAACACGAAGUCUCUAGUUAUAAAGUACGAUUGCUGAAUGCUACAGUUUCUGAAAAUACGAAAACACUCCAAAAAGAUUUCUACCUGAACUGUGAUGGUGAAGUUAUUCGAUUAUCAGAGCCCGAGUUUGAUGUAAAGCUUCACAAGAAAGCAGUGAGGAUCUUUGGAAAUGCUUCUGCAUGAACAUCAGUAAACAAUUGAAUGAACAAAUGCCACCAAAGCAUUGUGAAAUCUGUAAACAUUCUGCUAUAUCUCCAAAAGAGACAGUUUGUGACAGCCUCGAAAGAAACAUGUAUGUCAAUAAAGAGUAUUCUUCAGAGACAAUACAGAAAUCGAGAUGUUACAGAGCCGAGUGUAGAUCGACUCGGCGGAAAGAACAUUAUGCGAGUAGUGAUCAGUAGUGCUUGCUAAACCAUGUAUGACUAUACGUUGAUAUUGAUAGCUAUUGAACAGACGAGAGAGAAUCGUGGACAAAUAUCGAUAUAUAGUAAUGAUGAAAAUAUAUGACCACGUGGCCAUACUAACUGUAACUGCUAUGCAGCUUGUCCUAGUUUGUUAGUCAAAG
rnacentral:lncRNA from 1 species